GGAUGCCAGUGAGCGCCCCUCACCAGCACCGGGCUUUGCGGCGCUGGGACUGCGGCGGCCUGACCGCCCUCGGCAAGGCUUGUGUCCGCCUGGAGGAGGCGGCCCGGGAGGGGGCUCCGCGAGGGCUACGGCGGCUCCCAGUCCUGCUGAAGCGUCCUGCCGCCCGCACCUGCCCGGGGAGGUGAGAAUGACUCAUGCAGCGGCCUCGGCCGGGCCUUACCUCUCCUACUGAGGUCAGCUGCCUACGCAGGCCCCCCGGCCCACGGCCGUCAGGACCCCCUCGCAGAGGCCCCACGGCAGAGGGUCCAAAUCAGCCUUUACAACGUGCUUGGCUGGCCCAACUCUUCUGUGCCCUGUUUUCUGAGAUUAUUGGUCUUCUAUCCCCAGGAGCAAAGCUGUACCCUGAUGUGGCCCACUUUUUGCUGCAGCAGCCUUACCCUUCAGGCCAUCCAGUUAGCAGUUCUGAGAGCUGUAAUGUGAACUUAAACACCAAACUAGAUUCUUUGAAGAAAGUGGGGGAGGGGGGACAAAAAAAGUUAGAAGUUAUGAAGCCCUCAGCAGCUCAUUAUGAAGCAGUAAUUGAAGAAAUGCAAACGAUAUGCUGAGGCUCUUUUUACUUAAAUUGGUUUUUUAGUAUUUUAUUUAUAUUUUAAUAGACCCCAUGUUUCCAGAUGAAUUCAAUUUUUGUAUCACAAAUACAGUUCACUUCAUCGUGUAGGGGAUACAAGGAGGAACUCAUUCUGUCCUUACCAUUGUGAAACUUACCAGUAGGGAAUAAAUACAGUACAAGAUGCAUCAUUCCUGGCUAAUUUCACAUCUCACACCUGAGAAAAAGAAAAAAAGUUUCCUUUUAAAUGUCAUGUUCAUGGAUUGGAAGACAACACUAUCAAGAUGACAGUACUCCCUGGAUUGAUCUAGAGAUUCAACACAGUACCUACCAGAAUCCCAGAUGACUUCGUUAUAAAAAUUGACAAGUUGAUUCUGAAAUACACAUGGAUGGGAGUGGGUGUUGGGUAACUCAGUGGUAGAGUGCCUGCUUAGCAUGCACAAGGUCCUGGGGUCAAUCCCCAGUAUCUCCAUGAAAAACUAAGUAAAUAAACCAAAUUACCUCUGCCCCCCCAAAAAAAUAAAAAUAAAAAAAUAAUAAAAUGCACAUGGAAUUGCAAGGGACCUUGAAUAGCCAGAAUAAUGCUAAAAAGAAUUAAGUAGGAGGACUCACAUUUCCCAAUUUCAAAACUUACUACAAAGCAACAGUAAUUAAGACAGUGUGUUGCAGGCACAAAGAGAGACAUAUACAUCAAUGAAACAGAAUUAAGAGUCUAGGAAUAAACCCCCAAAUCUAUGGCCAACUGAUUUUUGACAAAAGUACCAAGACCAUUCAGCGGGGAAGAAUAAUCUCUUCAACAAAUGGCACUGGGACAACUGAGUAUCUACACGCAAAAGAAUGAAGUUGAACCCUUACCUUACACCGUCUACAAAAAUUAACUCGGAGCUAAAACUGUAAAACUCAUUUAUAAGAAUAUAUAGGGGGAAAUCAUAAUGCCAUUUACUUGGCAAUGAUUUAUUAGAUAUGACACUGGAGGGACAGACAAUAAAAAAAUAAAUUGGACUUCACCAAAAUUAAAAAUUUGUGCAUCAAAGGACACUAUCAGGAUUGUGAAAAUGCAACAUGUGAAAUAGAAAAAUAUUUAUAAAUCAUAUAUCUGAUAAAAGGGCUUCCAUCUAGAAUAUAUAAAGAACUCUUACAAUGUAAUCACAAAAAGACAAACCAGAUCCUAAAAUGGGCAAAGUAUCUGAAUAGAUGUUUCUUCAAAGAUACAGAUAGCCAAUAAGUACAUGAAAAGAUGCUCAGCAUCAUUAGUCAUCAGAGAAAUGCAGAUCAAAACCACAGUGAGAUACCACUUCAUACCCACUAGAAUUGUUCAAAUCAAAGUCAGAUAACAACAGGUGUCAGCAAAGAUUUUAAGAUAUGGGACUCUCAUAACGCUACUGGUAAUAAUGUAGAAUGUGGUACAACCACUUUAGAAAACAGUCUGGCAGUUCCUCAGAUGAUUAAACAUAAAGUUACCAUAUGACCCAGCAAUUCUGCUCUUAGGUACAUUUCAAGAGAAAUGAAAACAUGUCCACAUAGAA